UUAACACAUGCAAGUCGAGGGGCAGCAUGGUCUUUUCUUGCUAAGGCCGAUGGCGACCGGCGCACGGGUGAGUAACACGUAUCCAACCUGCCGUCUACUCUUGGACAGCCUUCUGAAAGGAAGAUUAAUACAAGAUGGCAUCAUGAGUCCGCAUGUUCACAUGAUUAAAGGUAUUCCGGUAGACGAUGGGGAUGCGUUCCAUUAGAUAGUAGGCGGGGUAACGGCCCACCUAGUCUUCGAUGGAUAGGGGUUCUGAGAGGAAGGUCCCCCACAUUGGAACUGAGACACGGACCAAACUCCUACGGGAGGCAGCAGUGAGGAAUAUUGGUCAAUGGGCGAGAGCCUGAACCAGCCAAGUACCGUGAAGGAUGACUGCCCUAUGGGUUGUAAACUUCUUUUAUAAAAGAAUAAAGUCGGGUAUGGAUACCCGUUUGCAUGUACUUUAUGAAUAAGGAUCGGCUAACUCCGUGCCAGCAGCCGCGGUAAUACGGAGGAUCCGAGCGUUAUCCGGAUUUAUUGGGUUUAAAGGGAGCGUAGAUGGAUGUUUAAGUCAGUUGUGAAACUUUGCGGCUCAACCGUAAAAUUGCAGUUGAUACUGGAUAUCUUGAGUGCAGUUGAGGCAGGCGGAAUUCGUGGUGUAGCGGUGAAAUGCUUAGAUAUCACGAAGAACUCCGAUUGCGAAGGCAGCCUGCUAAGCUGCAACUGACAUUGAGGCUCGAAAGUGUGGGUAUCAAACAGGAUUAGAUACCCUGGUAGUCCACACGGUAAACGAUGAAUACUCGCUGUUUGCGAUAUACUGCAAGCGGCCAAGCGAAAGCGUUAAGUAUUCCACCUGGGGAGUACGCCGGCAACGGUGAAACUCAAAGGAAUUGACGGGGGCCCGCACAAGCGGAGGAACAUGUGGUUUAAUUCGAUGAUACGCGAGGAACCUUACCCGGGCUUAAAUUGCAGAUGAAUUACGGUGAAAGCCGUAAGCCGCAAGGCAUCUGUGAAGGUGCUGCAUGGUUGUCGUCAGCUCGUGCCGUGAGGUGUCGGCUUAAGUGCCAUAACGAGCGCAACCCUUGUUGUCAGUUACUAACAGGUUCCGCUGAGGACUCUGACAAGACUGCCAUCGUAAGAUGUGAGGAAGGUGGGGAUGACGUCAAAUCAGCACGGCCCUUACGUCCGGGGCUACACACGUGUUACAAUGGGGGGUACAGAGGGCCGCUACCACGCGAGUGGAUGCCAAUCCCCAAAACCUCUCUCAGUUCGGACUGGAGUCUGCAACCCGACUCCACGAAGCUGGAUUCGCUAGUAAUCGCGCAUCAGCCACGGCGCGGUGAAUACGUUCCCGGGCCUUGUACACACCGCCCGUCAAGCCAUGGGAGCCGGGGGUACCUGAAGUGCGUAACCGCGAGGAGCGCCCUAGGGUAAAACUGGUGACUGGGGCUAA
rnacentral:rRNA from 1 species